AAUACUGUGAUAAUUAUCGAUUCGUGGAAGGAAGGGGAAACUGGGGUGUUCAAGAAAUACGUAUACUUGGGUCGAUUUUUGUGAAAUAUUUUCUGUAAUACUCGCUAAUAAACGCUCCUCCGAAUACUUGUUGCUCUCUUCAGCUCGUGUUAUUUAUAUGAAGGGUGCGUUCGCCCCUGUGCUUAUAUUCGUGUUCCUUCCUCAUGAUUAAUAUUCGCCUCUCGUAGCGCGGCAUCGUCACGUUCGUCCGCCGCUGUUGAUCGAUGGCCGCGCGAACGUGUCACGUCGCCCGAAUACUACGAACCUGUGCGUGCGCGGUGCACCUUGGUUCAACGCAACGCAACGCGACGCAACGCAACGGCGCGGCGUUGCAUUUGGGUGAUGGUGUGUCAUGGCGAACCUAAGUAAUCGACAAUUUACAGCCGUAUAUAUAAACUUUGUCUCUCUCUCUCUCUUGUUACGUAUGUUGAAAAUUGUGCUCCACCAUCGUAUCUGAGCGACUUCCUUAUUUGUCUCUCUUUUAUAAGAUUGAUAAAAUUAUUAUUAACAAUUGUCAUUGUUUAUUAUUCAUUUCUUUAUAUUGUGUUUUGUAUCUUGUGACUAUACAGCGAGAUCUUUAUUGUAUGAACUUUGUCAUUUUUAACACUUUAAGAAACGGUCAAAACUCCGCCUCAGAUCGAUUGCAUUUCCGAUUAAUAAUUAGUAAUAUUUAUUCAAUCUAUAAUUGGUGACUCGAUAAUAUAUUGAUCGACCUUUUAUCCUUCUUUUAUCCAUCGAAGUUAUAAGUUAUGUAAGAUGUCGGAUUCGGGCAUUAUCUCGACGGAGAGCGACUUUUCAGGAAAUGACAGAGUAGACGAGUGUGUUGGCACGAAUAGGAAGGACAGUGCAACGAACGGAGAAUCGUGACGCCUACGUCGUGAAUUAUGAUACUGAUACGCUUCAAUAGCAUUCUUUGUCGGUGGUUAUUAAUAUACAUGUCGCACGCGCAUUUUUCAUUGAGCCUACGACACCGGAAGUGAAGAGCACGAGAGUGAAAAUAACGAUUAUUUUGAUAAAGCAAACCUUGUAAAUGCUCGAUGAGAUUACGCUGUGCAAUUACGCGCCCGCGCACUCUCUCUCUCUCUCUCUGUCUAGCAUAUUAAUUAUACUUAUAAGGGUUGAGGGUGCUUUUAUGUAAUUGUAAGGAGACUACAGUUUAUUUAGAAGUUUACAGUUUAUUAAGAAGACUACAGUAUUACGCGCAUUUGUGUGAUUGUAAUAACUUUUAAUGUUUAACGCUGGAAGAUUAAAAAAAGAUGUAUAAAGUGCCUAAAAAAUUAAAACGUCUUUCUUUGAAUAAAGCCAAGGGAGAAAUUUUUAACUCGAUCACAUUUAACAUAAAUAAUAGAAAUUUCGUUAAUUGUUCUUUGUAAGAUUUGCACUCAAUAUUAUUCAUGUUAGAAUGCUUGGUGUACCAGCAUUCUCAUCUCGAAGGGAAUUAGUCUUGACAUUUACCCUAAAUGCGAUUCAUCGAUUUUCUAUAUAUAACAACAUGCAUGUAUAUAUAAAACACAAUGUUUAUGUUAUAUAAAUGCUUGAGAGACUCUGUCCGUCGUCCCGCACUUCGCGUAAAAAUAUAUAUAUAACAGUUAAUUACGGCAAUAAAUUUUAUAAUAGUUUCCCAUUUAACAGUAACUAUGCUUAUAAUUAAAAUUGAUAUCCCAAGAUGUAUAAUUGUAUAAAUAAUUACAAGUUUUCUGUUGCUCUUUUGUGUGCGCGAGUACAUUUCGCGUAAAGGACACGGCGAUAACAUUAAUGAUUAGUCAUAGUGCUGUUGAUAGGAUGAUUGCCUACAUAUCACAAAAUGGAACAUGACUGGCAAAAUGGACAUGUCGAAAUGCGAAGCGUAAUAGUGGCUAUAACGCGAUUAGCAUAGAUUGGAUGAGAGAUCAGCCUCUCUCGUGAAUUUCGCAUUUGUCAUCUGCCAAAAGUGGCUCAAGUUUGCACGCUAUGUUUUCCCGUGAACACCGACCACGUGCUCGAGACACAUAAUACGCGACGCUAGGGAGAGUUCUCCGUGAUGUCGGCCACGUCAGACCGCCGCUCAACCCUCAGCCAGUAGCUAAAUAUAUAUGAAUACAAAAUGUAUAGCUAGAGCGUGCGCGAGCUCGCCUCAGGGCCACAUCGGCCUCGUCCAAACGAUGGUUAAGUCAACCCUCCGGAUGUAGAAGAAUCGGAGGAUUAACUCUCCAACGCUAUGAAUUCGCUUGUGUGCCUUUUAUUCGAAAAUUUGUACAAAAUUUCUCAACAUAUUUAAGGACUGAAAAUCAAAUCGAACCAAAAUAAUUUUCCCAAAAUAUCGAUAAGUCCAGAUAAGUCGAACUUUAACAAUGCGAAUAUGGUAAAUAUGGUUACUUUCGUUCACGAUAACAAAUCAAUCAUUUUUUUCUACGCCAACGCUACGCUUUAGUCUGCAUCAAUUAUGUUCUCUUUGAAUAAGUACGUGUAUUUGCGUUAAAAUAAAAUAACACGUCCCUCAUAUUAUUCAUGGGCACGAAUGUAGCCCACGUUGUCUCGGUUUUAACAUGCGGUAGGAGCGCCAGAUGAUAUAAACGGAUAUUUGUGCCACAGAUUGAUCGUACGGCACCAUUAACCGAUCAUGCGACGGAUAAUAAGUAGACGGCGAAUACGGACGUGAUGAGAUAUAUAUGUCAAGUAUUACCCUUGAGCACUCGGUUAGAGAAUAUUGUAUCAGUGACAUUAGGAUUUGCUCCAUAUUCUACGCCUCAAUAGUCUCAAUUACGAACUCUAACGACAUGAUCGGACUGACGGACAGAGACCGCAAGUGUUGUGCAACGCACGAUCGAAUUUCUAUAAAUUUCCGUACUGAAUUCCCGUGGGAUUCUCAUUACGUAACACGCGCAAGCAAAUCUGCAAGCGUAACUCACCGGAACCGGUGCAGAUUUAUUACACGUGCUUAUCACUUUCGGUCAACACGAGAGCGUUAUCAUGCAGAUGGGAUACAUCGAGAUUGUCGAAGCAGGCAAAGAAACAGCGAUGCAAAUAAAAUAUUUUCUCCUGAUCUAAUAUUUCGUUCGUAAUGGUAUCCAUACGUUAUAUGCCGAAUCAUAUUAAAUUUAAAUAUGAAUAAAGAUUUCUUGACGAAAAUUAAAAUAGCUUUAUCAGAAUUUAAUAGCACUCCAAAUUUUCUUCGAAUUUAAAAGAUAGAUCAGAGACCUUUGUAACACCUUUGUUUCAAGUCAAGAUUGUCUUGCACUAAAAUCGUAAAAUAUCGUUUUACUUGGAAUCCUAAUUAAGCAAUCGUCUUGUUUGAAGAAUUAAAAACUUUCGCAUGUGAAGAAGUUGCUUCAAUUUUCGAUAAGGAAUACA